rnacentral:rRNA from 1 species
AACGCGAAGAACCUUACCUGGUCUUGACAUCCACAGAACCUGGCAGAGAUGCCGGGGUGCCUUCGGGAACUGUGAGACAGGUGCUGCAUGGCUGUCGUCAGCUCGUGUUGUGAAAUGUUGGGUUAAGUCCCGCAACGAGCGCAACCCUUAUCCUUUGUUGCCAGCGGUCCGGCCGGGAACUCAAAGGAGACUGCCAGUGAUAAACUGGAGGAAGGUGGGGAUGACGUCAAGUCAUCAUGGCCCUUACGACCAGGGCUACACACGUGCUACAAUGGCGCAUACAAAGAGAAGCGACCUCGCGAGAGCAAGCGGACCUCAUAAAGUGCGUCGUAGUCCGGAUUGGAGUCUGCAACUCGACUCCAUGAAGUCGGAAUCGCUAGUAAUCG